rnacentral:rRNA from 1 species
AAUGAACGCUGGCGGCAUGCCUAACACAUGCAGGUCGAACGAAGGCUUCGGCCUUAGUGGCGCACGGGUGCGUAACGCGUGGGAAUCUGCCCCUUGGUUCGGAAUAACAGUUAGAAAUGACUGCUAAUACCGGAUGAUGACGUAAGUCCAAAGAUUUAUCGCCGAGGGAUGAGCCCGCGUAGGAUUAGCUAGUUGGUGUGGUAAGAGCGCACCAAGGCGACGAUCCUUAGCUGGUCUGAGAGGAUGAUCAGCCACACUGGGACUGAGACACGGCCCAGACUCCUACGGGAGGCAGCAGUGGGGAAUAUUGGACAAUGGGCGAAAGCCUGAUCCAGCAAUGCCGCGUGAGUGAUGAAGGCCUUAGGGUUGUAAAGCUCUUUUACCCGGGAUGAUAAUGACAGUACCGGGAGAAUAAGCUCCGGCUAACUCCGUG